rnacentral:tRNA from 1 species
GCUAUUUUGACAGAAAAAUGUAAUGAUUUUAGAAGUCAUAAAUAUAUAGUUAAUUUAUAUAUAUAGUA